rnacentral:lncRNA from 1 species
UGUUGUAUCUUCUUUGCCGAGGCAACGCCAUCCACACAGAGCCACUCAGACCCCAAGCAUUCCUUGGCUACGCCAACAGGCCCUGCGAUGAUCAUCAGGAGCCUAGGUGUUGCCAGGAGCCUCACGACCCAAUAUCAGGACACGACCUUAGGAUCAUUUCCUGCUACACUUCUGGUCCUCUCAGCUCUCUCAGCUGCCCAGAAGGAACAAACAGGUUGGAGCAGGCUCUGUACCUUGUUAGUUCUACCCUUGUUGCUCGCUUUUUCUUUCUUUCUUUCUUUCUUUCUUUCUUUCUUUCUUUCUUUCUUUCUUUCUUUCUUUCUUUCUUUCUUUCUUUCUUUCUUUCUUUCUUUUCUUUCUUUCUUUCUUUCUUUCUUUCCUCUUCCUCUCUCUCUCUCUCUCUCUCUCUCUCUCUCUCUCCCUCUCCCCUCUUUCUUUUUCUUCACUUUACUCUCUCUCUCUCUCUCCCUCUCCCCUCUUUCUUUCAGGCACGUGUAAAUUGUCAUCAUCCUUGGUUGGAUGGGGCAGGCUGAGUGAAUCUGUGGACUCUCUCUUGCUUCUGCUUCAGUAUCUUCAGGAUGAUGUUCUGUCCUGAGCACAGCUGUGGUUCCAGAAAGUUCUUUGGGUGCUGGUCCAGUAUUCACAGAUGGUAUGCUGCAGACAGCCAGUGGCCAGCCACCAAGGAGUCAAGAAUGUCAAAGGGACAUCAUGCCAGCAGCUUGGUGUUUCUCAUCCCGCUGGCCCAGCUACCAGGAAAACCAGAAGAAUGACUCAAAAGCACCUGCCUAUCUUGAACAUGCCUGAACACAGAUACCAUGGUCACCUCAGACAGAUGGGGCUUGCCAAGCUGAGGUUCACAUAUGGGGAGGCCUACAGUUUGGGAAGGAU